ACAGAUGCCCCUUUUUCUUUUGCACUUGAUUCUCCAAGUUCAUUUGCAGACAUGGCAAAGAAAUCUGGAGGAUUGUCAUUCAGAAAUAAAGACCCAUCUUUUCCCUGGAUUCAUGCUGGAACAGCAGUUUUUAGUACCAAAGGAACAGCUUCCCAAAAUCAGAAGGAAGACCCUGAGGGUCAAAAUCAAGAUUUUUCCUUAUCUAACUUGGCGUUGAAGUCUGAUGAAGUUGAGAUGGUUCUUUUUAAGCAGAAUGUAAAAUUGUUCAAAUUGGAUCAUGAAUUUGGCCAGUGGAAAGAAUGUGGAUAUGGUGAUCUGAAGAUCAUUUUCGACCCAGUGAAAAAGUACCACCAGGUCCUCAUGUGGUGUGACAGGUUUUUAAAGCUGCUUGUUAACCACAUCAUUUCCAAGGACACCACGGUAGAAUUCUUGAACAUAUCGGUACACACACUUGUUUGGACAGCUUACAACUGUACAGGUAAGAACAUUUAAACAUAUUGUGGUUUUAUUUAAAUAUACAGUAACAUUCUUCAGUGUGUUGUCAAGUUAGAAUUCUAAACCUUUGACUUGGUUGGAUUGUUUUUUUCUUUUUUUACCAAACAGAGGGCAACUCUAAGAUGGAGCAAAUUGCUGCCAGAUUCACAACACCCGAAUUUGCUGAAUCCUUCAGAAAAAUCUUUACAGAUUGUCAGAGGAUGAUAUUACCAGGAUGGCUCAGGUGAAAAGUGUAUCUACAGGGAUAAGUUUAGGAAAACUUUGGGAGGUGGAG